rnacentral:tRNA from 1 species
GCUUUACUAAUCGAAUUGAUAUGAUGUCAUCCUGAAAAGUCGGGAGUUCAGGUUUAAAUCCUGGCUGAGGCA